CUCCAAUUAUUAAAACUUUACCCGCUCAUCCAAUUUCUGCUCUCCCUUGAUUAAUCGAUUCCCAUCCGAAUGGACCCCUCCUCCGACCACCCCAAUCAAAAGGGGACUCUUUUUGGCGAUUCUUCUACAAGUGCUUUUCUUUUCCUGGCUUUUAAGUGUAAUAUUCAAUAAGAUACCAUACACAUUCAACAGGUUAAAUCUAUUAAGAAAGUUGAUUCAUAUAAUUUUACAGAUUGUUUAUUGUGAUUUACUGAUUUGUAUUAAUCUUCGGUAUGGUGUUUUGAGGUAGGAGGGAGAAGUUUUUAACU